GCAUAUCAAUAAGCGGAGGAAAAGAAACCAACAGGGAUUGCCUUCAGUAACGGCGAAGUGAAGCGGCAACAGCUUCAAAUUUGAAAUCUGGCUGCCUUGUGCAGUCCGAGUUGUAAUUUGAAGAGGAUGCUUUUGGCAAGGUGCCUUCCGAGUUCCCUGGAAUGGGACGCCAUAGAGGGUGAGAGCCCCGUAUGGUCGGUCGCCGAGCCUCUGUAAAGCUCCUUCGACGAGUCGAGUAGUUUGGGAAUGCUGCUCAAAAUGGGAGGUAAACCCCUUCUAAAGCUAAAUACUGGCCAGAGACCGAUAGCGCACAAGUAGAGUGAUCGAAAGAUGAAAAGCACUUUGAAAAGAGAGUUAAACAGCACGUGAAAUUGUUGAAAGGGAAGCGCUUGCGACCAGACUUGUGCUCGUCGAAUCAGCCGUCGCUCGUCGGCGGCGCAUUUCGGCGGGCUCAGGCCAGCAUCAGUUCGCUGUGGGGGAGAAAGGCGGUAGGAAUGUGGCUCCUCGGAGUGUUAUAGCCUACCGUAUAAUACCCCUCGGCGGACUGAGGACCGCGCAUCUGCAAGGAUGCUGGCGUAAUGGUUGUCAGCGACCCGUCUUGAAACACGGACCAAGGAGUCGUCCUAAUAUGCGAGUGUUCGGGUGUCAAACCCCUACGCGUAAUGAAAGUGAACGGAGGUGAGAGCUUCGGCGCAUCAUCGACCGAUCCUGAUGUUCUCGGAUGGAUUUGAGUAUGAGCAUAUUGGGCCGGACCCGAAAGAAGGUGAACUAUGCCUGUAUAGGGUAAAGCCAGAGGAAACUCUGGUGGAGGCUCGCAGCGGUUCUGACGUGCAAAUCGAUCGUCAAAUAUGGGCAUGGGGGGCGAAAGACUAAUCGAACCUUCUAGUAGCUGGGUUUCCGCGA
rnacentral:rRNA from 1 species